GGAGACUUGCACCAGUCACUUCCUUCAAUAUUAAUAUCUUUUUCUGAAACCUACUCAGACUAACGAGGCACAGCUUAUGCACUAUCGAGUAUUCUAUGAUUUAAUUAUCACAGCCCCACAAGUUAGAUAUUGUCAGUCCCGUUGUACAGAUAAUGAAAUAGGUUUAGAGAGGUUACUUUGCCUGAAAUCACACAGUGACCCAACCCCAGUUACAUGUGCCUCUAAAACUUUUUUCUACUCUUCUAAGUGGAUUCCUCUCAGUUUGUCCAUCAGCAAAAUAGAAGUAAUCGUUAUACAAAACAUAUAAUUGAAUGAAAGCAUCUCCUCCUUCUUAAGGCUCCUCUAAAUGUCAAGGACUAUAACAUAUUAGGGUACUUAUGUAUUGUGGCAUUUGAGAACUAAAUUCUGUUUUCACAGAAGCAUAGAUUAUUCAAGAUAGAAAAACGGGAACUUUGUAGAGCUUUUCCUUGCAAUGUAGAAAGACAUUUAAUUUUAGAUUUAGGAGGCCAAGAAAGACUAAUUUGGACUGGGCAUGAUGGCUCACACCUGUAAUCCCAAAGGUGGGAGGUGGAAGUUGCAGUGAGCCGAGAUCACACCACUGCACUCCAGCCUGGGCAAUAGAGCAAGAUUCUGUCUUAAAAAAUUAAAAUAGGCCAGCCGGGCGUGGUGGCUCACGCCGGUAAUCCCAGCACUUUGGGAGGCCGAGGUGGGCGGAUCACGAGGUCAGGAGAUCGAGACCACGGUGAAACCCCGUCUCUACUAACAAUACAAAAAAAAUUAGCUGGGCACGGGCGCCUAUAGUCGCAGCUACUUGGGAGGCUGAGGCAGGAGAAUGGCGUGAACCCGGGAGGUGGAGCUUGCAGUGAGCAGAGAUUGUGCCACUGCACUGCAGCCCGGGUGACAGAGCAAGGCUCUGUCUC
rnacentral:lncRNA from 10 species